AGUGAACGCUGGCGGUAGGCCUAACACAUGCAAGUCGAACGGCAGCACAGUAAGAGCUUGCUCUUACGGGUGGCGAGUGGCGGACGGGUGAGGAAUACAUCGGAAUCUACUUUUUCGUGGGGGAUAACGUAGGGAAACUUACGCUAAUACCGCAUACGACCUACGGGUGAAAGCAGGGGAUCUUCGGACCUUGCGCGAUUGAAUGAGCCGAUGUCGGAUUAGCUAGUUGGCGGGGUAAAGGCCCACCAAGGCGACGAUCCGUAGCUGGUCUGAGAGGAUGAUCAGCCACACUGGAACUGAGACACGGUCCAGACUCCUACGGGAGGCAGCAGUGGGGAAUAUUGGACAAAGGGCGCAAGCCUGAUCCAGCCAUACCGCGUGGGUGAAGAAGGCCUUCGGGUUGUAAAGCCCUUUUGUUGGGGAAGAAAAGCAGCAGGUUAAAACCCCGCCGUUCUGACGGUACCCAAAGAAUAAGCACCGGCUAACUUCGUG
rnacentral:rRNA from 1 species